GAAAUGCGAUAAGUAAUGUGAAUUGCAGAAUUCCGUGAAUCAUCGAAUCUUUGAACGCACAUUGCGCCCUCUGGUAUUCCGGGGGGCAUGCCUGUCCGAGCGUCAUUGCACACCCUCAAGCGCGGCUUGUGUGUUGGGCCCCCGCGUCCUUGCCAUUUAAAGGACGGGCCCGAAAGGCAGUGGCAGCGUCGCGGUGAUCCGCUAAGCCAGAGCGUAUGGGGACGCUACAGUCACACGCUCGCGGCGCGGACCGGCGCUGGCCGACCCCCCUAACCAUUCUACGGUUUGACCUCGGAUCAGGUAGGGAUACCCGCUGAACUUAAGC
rnacentral:misc_RNA from 1 species